GAAUAGAUCACACAGAGAUUGAACAAUGGGCAUCAACUCAGCUGGACAAUGAAUUGUGAGGCAGAGCUGUUUGAUUUUCUGGACACGUCCUCAUAAGGCUGUGGACAGUUUGAAUUCCAGCGCGGACUCCCAGACACCCGGCACAAGUUAUGUGAGAAAAUUAGUACAGAAUCAGAAAGGAGAGUCUGGGGGGUGGGGAGGGGGGGGGGCCGCGGAGGGAAGUCGAUGGAAAGAACUGCAGUCUUCGUCUAGUUGAUUUUAUUUUAACCCCUUACAAUUUCACUGACGCUCGAGCAAAACCUAACGCGCUAGGGGAAUCAAGAAGAACUAAAAACAGCAAAAAAACCUAUAAGAUCAUCACCGGAAGGAUUUCCAAGUUUUUAAAAAAUUCUUAAAUGCAAAAUUCACGCAAUCUCUGACUGCGCAAUGGACGAGGGACUAAUGGAGAGGAUUUCAUUGGUCAAGAACAUAUGCUCAAGGCCAGGAAGAGAGAUGCACCGUUUGUCUGUGAAUCUUGACAGGAAACUGACACACAUCAACAUCUGGGCCUUUAGUCAUAAGAAAUCUCAAUGUCUUCAACCAACAUGAUUCACAUCCUGAUGACAGAUAGAAUAUCUGAUCAGAAACUCACUAAGUGCCCCAACAGCAGAUGCGACCCGUUGGUGCCAUUUCUCCAAACAUACCCAAUGCGUCUCUUGACUAAAGCUUGUGAACUUUAUUAGUGUGAGUGCACUGUCUGAUUAGACUACUAUCCACAAUAACCAUUGUGCCAAGUCUGAUGAGAGUUAUAAAGAGUUGGAAGAUUAACAGCAGGAAAAGCUCUGGAUCUUCUUCAGAGUUCCACCAUUCUCUGAACAUCGAUCUGACAACAGCAUCUCCGAGAGAUCAUCGCUUAUGACCAACUAUGGCACGUUUCUUCAGUGAGGACUGGUGAUGGGGAAUGUUACAACACAAGAUAUUGGCUCAAUCUGUAGAAUGCUUGCCUCAGUAUAUGAAGCCUGUAACCUUGAGAUAUAAAUGCUAUAAUGUACUGUGUAAAUGUUUUGAGACUCAAUUGAUGCACUGAA